rnacentral:rRNA from 1 species
CACGUAGGGCGCAAGCGUUGUCCGGAAUUAUUGGGCGUAAAGAGCUCGUAGGCGGUCUGUUGCGUCCGCUGUGAAAACUCGGGGCUUAACCCCGAGCCUGCAGUGGAUACGGGCAGACUAGAGGUAGGUAGGGGAGAAUGGAAUUCCCGGUGUAGCGGUGAAAUGCGCAGAUAUCGGGAGGAACACCAGUGGCGAAGGCGGCUACCUGGAUUGACACUGACACUGAGGCGCGAAAGCGUGGGUAGCAAACAGG